rnacentral:siRNA from 1 species
GCCGUCUUAGCUCAGUGGU